rnacentral:rRNA from 1 species
GACGAACGCUGGCGGCGUGCCUAAUACAUGCAAGUCGAGCGGACUGAAUGGGAGCUUGCUCUUGUUCGGUCAGCGGCGGACGGGUGAGUAACACGUGGGCAACCUGCCCGCAAGACCGGGAUAACUCCGGGAAACCGGAGCUAAUACCGGAUAACACCGAAGACCGCAUGGUCUUUGGUUGAAAGGCGGCGCAAGCUGCCACUUGCGGAUGGGCCCGCGGCGCAUUAGCUAGUUGGUGAGGUAACGGCGCACCAAGGCGACGAUGCGUAGCCGGCCUGAGAGGGUGACCGGCCACACUGGGACUGAGACACGGCCCAGACUCCUGCGGGAGGCAGCAGUAGGGAAUCUUCCGCAAUGGGCGAAAGCGUGACGGAGCGACGCCGCGUGAGCGAAGAAGGCCGUCGGGUCGUAAAGCUCUGUUGUGAGGGACGAAGGAGCGCCGUUUGAAGAAGGCGGCGCGGUGACGGUACCUCACGAGGAAGCCCCGGCUAACUACGUG